GUCCUCGUAGCUUAAAAACAAAAGCAUGGCACUGAAGAUGCCAAGAUGGUCAGCCCCACAUACCCAAGGAC
rnacentral:tRNA from 1 species